rnacentral:rRNA from 1 species
AGAGUUUGAUCCUGGCUCAGAACGAACGCUGGCGGCGUGGCUAAGGCAUGCAAGUCGAGCGGAUUUGUAGCAAUACAAAUUAGCGGCGGACGGGUGACGAAUACAUGGACAACGUGCCCUGGACUCGGGGAUAGCGGCGGGGAAACCCUUUGCGAAAGUGCCGGUAAUACCCGAUGACCUCGCGGGAUCGCAUGAUCCUGUGAGCAAAGUUCCGGCGGUCCUGGAGCGGUUCAUGUCCUAUCAGCUAGUUGGUGGGGUAACGGCCUACCAAGGCAUCGACGGGUAGCGGGCGUGAGAGCGCGACCCGCCACAUCGGAACUGAGACACGGUCCGGACACCUACGGGUGGCUGCAGCAACGAAUAUUCCGCAAUGGGCGCAAGCCUGACGGAGCGACGCCGCGUGCAGGAGGAAGUCCUUCGGGAUGUAAACUGCUGUCGGGGGCUAGGAACAUUGACCAGCCCCAAAGGAAGCACCGGCUAACUCCGUGCCAGCAGCCGCGGUAAUACGGAGGGUGCGAGCGUUGUUCGAAAUUACUGGGCUUAAAGCGCGUGUAGGCGGGAUGGCAAGUGUCGGGUGAAAUCCCUCGGCUCAACCGAGGAACUGCCUGGCAAACUGCUGUUCUUGAGGCAGGUAGAGGUGACUGGAACGACUGGUGGAGCGGUGAAAUGCGUAGAUAUCAGUUGGAACGCCGGAGGCAAAAGCGGGUCACUGGGCCUGUCCUGACGCUAAGACGCGAAAGCGUGGGGAGCGAACAGGAUUAGAUACCCUGGUAGUCCACGCCGUAAACGAUGCGCACUAGGUAUGAGAGGGUCUGACCCCGAUCGUGCCGCAAAGAAAUCGAUAAGUGCGCCGCCUGGGGAGUACGGCCGCAAGGCUAAAACUCAAAGGAAUUGACGGGGGCUCACACAAGCGGUGGAGUAUGUGGAUUAAUUCGACGCGAAGCACCUCACCUGGGUUUGACAUGUACGGAUGCUCUUUUGGAAACAGGAGUAGGCUGCCUUCGGGUGAAACGUGCACAGGUGCUGCAUGGCUGUCGUCAGCUCGUGCUGUGAAUUGUCGGGUUAAGUCCCUCAACGAGCGAAACCCCUAUCGUUAGUUACCAGCGGGUCAUGCCGGGGACUCUAGCGAGACCGCCGGCGUCAAGCCGGAGGAAGGCGGGGACGACGUCAAGUCAUCAUGGCCCUUAUGCCCAGGGUGUCACACGUACUACAAUGGUCUGGACAGAGCGACGCGAUACCGCGAGGUGGAGCAAAUCGCAGAAACCAGGCCUCAGUUCAGAUUGCAGUCUGCAACCCGACUGCAUGAAGCUGGAAUCGCUAGUAAUCGCGCAUCAGCCAUGGCGCGGUGAAUGUGUUCCUGAGCCUUGUACACACCGCCCGUCAAGUCAUC